UACCACCUAUAAUCGUUUUAAUCGAUGGGGGGACGCAGUAGGAUAGGCGAAGCGUGCGAUUGGAUUGCACGUCUAAGCAGUAAGGCUGAGUAUUAGGCAAAUCCGGUACUCGUUGAGGCUGAGCUGUGAUGGGGAGAAGACAUUGUGUCUUCGAGUCGUUGAUUUCACACUGCCGAGAAAAGCCUCUAGAUAGAAAAUAGGUGCCCGUACCGCAAACCGACACAGG
rnacentral:rRNA from 1 species